rnacentral:tRNA from 1 species
GGGGUGUGCGUCAUGGAGACGGCGGAGCCUCCAAAACUCCUGCGAGAAGGUUCGAUUCCUUCACGCCCCG